UACGGAGGGUGCAAGCGUUAUCCGGAAUCAUUGGGUUUAAAGGGUCCGUAGGUGGAUGAUUAAGUCAGAGGUGAAAUCCUGCAGCUCAACUGUAGAAUUGCCUUUGAAACUGGUUAUCUUGAGUCAUUAUGAAGUAGUUAGAAUAUGUAGUGUAGCGGUGAAAUGCAUAGAUAUUACAUAGAAUACCAAUUGCGAAGGCAGAUUACUAAUAAUGUACUGACACUGAUGGACGAAAGCGUGGGGAGCGAACAGG
rnacentral:rRNA from 1 species